CCUACGGGUGGCUGCAGUAGGGAAUAUUGCUCAAUGGCCGAAACCCUGAAGCAGCCACGCCGCGUGGAGGAUGAAGGUUUUCGGAUUGUAAACUCCUUUUGUUAGAGAAGAUAAUUACGGUAUCUAACGAAUAAGCACCGUCUAACUCCGUGCCAGCAGCCGCGGUCAUACGGAGGGUGCAAGCGUUACUCGGAAGCACUGGGCGUAAAAGGCGCGUAGGCGGGUUAGCAAGUCAGAUGUGAAAUCCUAUGGCUUAACCUUAGAACUGCAGUUGAAACUGGUAUUCUAGAGUAUGGGAGAGGUAGGUGGAAUUCGUGGUGUAGGGGUAAAAUCCGUAGAGAUCAAGAGGAAUACUGAUUGCGAAGGCGACCUGCUGGAACAUAACUGACGCUGAUGUGCGAAAGCGUGGGGAGCAAACAGGAUUAGAUACCCUGGUAGUC
rnacentral:rRNA from 1 species